UUUUAUUUUUUAUUUUUUCACGAUUUUUCACAAAUCGUACGAAUUCUUACGAGUGUAGUUGCACGAAUUCGUACGAAUUAGCCACCUAGUAUCACAUGCACGAAUUGCCGUGAGAUCGUGUUGGAAGGAGCGUGUUUGUACCUUGGAGAGCAAAAGAAUCCUCAUAAUUGACUGAUUUCUGAGUAACUACAGUAAGUUGCUCUCUUUGUUGUCAUUUAGUUGUAUGUAGAGGGCGGGACUCGAACUGAAAUGAACAAGGCGCGGCCAAGAACCCCCUUCCUUCACACGUGUAGACAAAGGGACCCAUCAACACAACCCAAACAUGCAGGGAAAAGUUUUCCCGUGCGCGCGACUUCACGCCAGGACCUCGCGAAACGCCCAGGCCAGCAUGCACGGGACUGUGAGUACUGGAUAGCUACUGUUCUAAACGGACGUCCUUUGAAGGAAUUAUUUCAUUAUUUUCUGCUGUGGGAUUUUACUUUCCUCCGGGAUUAUUGGACUGUCCAUAAUGAGAAUGAUUACUUUCCACUUCUAGACACAAUGGAGAAACUGAAGAUCUGAUCUGCUGCAGCGGUGACGAGAGGAACAGGAUGAUUCGCUCAAGAGGAAUCGUCUGGCAUGAGGGGCUCGGGGUGUUUUCUCAGCACUUGUUGACUGAUCAAGAGAAGCAGAAGCACUACACCCUUGUGUUUUUGUGAUCUGCUGGCAGUUUGCUCACAUCCCACGCUCUGAGUGAAGCGUUCUAGCGCUGAUCCAGGACCAGCCUCUGAAGACCCACCACAGCCAUCUGAAAGAGUGUGGAGCUGAGCUCAGAUCAGCAGCUGAUGUGAUCGCAGACGCAGAUAAUCGAGCCUCUUCCUGAGGAAGAAGCAGGGCUGACUGUGUGGCACGAAGGUCUCCUCCAGCCGGAUGUUUGCAGCGCUCAGUUGCACACCUGCAGUGGGACGCCGGUGACACGUUCAGCAUGACAGUGUUUACUGGGCCUGCUGCGGUUGAGAUCUGCUGCUGAAGUGAAACAGCAUGGGCCGCGUGUGGCUCUCUUCCAGAGGAUGCAUUUUGAAAUAUUUCAUGACAGGAGAGCACUGGUGUGUGAGAGCCUGUACAGACCAGACUCUUCAUGCCGGUCCAGGUGGACUGCUGCUGCUUAGUGCUGGUUUUGUUGGUUUACCCACACAGUCAUACUGUUCACCAGCAAAACACGACCGAUGAAGCAGCUGGACCUGCACUGACCCUGGGCUAAAGAUGGUAGAUCUCGAGCAGCGCUGGUCUGCUCAUCAGGGGAGUUUAGUUAUAGAGGGUUUGUUAGAACAUACAAGGGACGUUUCCUUCGAGGAGGCAAAAUUGGAUGAGAAACCAAUUAAUAAUAAUAAGGAACAGAACCAAAAAAAAAACAUCAACAUCAAAGCACAAUACACAUACCAAGGACUGAAAGUAAUAUACAGAGGUCGCUUACAAAGUUACAAACCAAGAGGGACUCAAAUAAAUAACACUGGAUGAGACACCAGCAGUUAAAGUUACAGCAGAAGGUGAGUUUUAACAGACCUGGUAAAGCGUGCGCUGGGUCUGAUGAGCGUCACUGAGAAUGAAUGGAGUAAAGUCAUGUGAGAGGAGGCAGUGCCUCCAUAGUGCUACGAUUGGCCUGGUACUCACUUAACCCAAUAAAUCCCGCCUGGAUCAGUCUGAAUGAACAAAUCACCGUGUCAAUGGGAAGACUUAUUAAAGUAAACAACAACUCACACACUUGAUAGCAUUACUUUGUCACAUAACAUUCAAACUUGAAAUGACCUGAAAAAAAAAUAAAAAAAAUAAUAAUAUUUGAGUGUUUUUAGUGUGCAGUCAGUUUGGUCAAGAUAAACACACAUUUCAGUGUCUGCAUUGUUUGCUGAGCUUUGAUGACUGAUGAUCCAAUUAUUAAAAAGAACAGCUGAAAAUCAGUUUCAAGUAAGAUAUGCAUGGAUUUUAUUUACCGUGUCAAGUCAUUAUUUGGGAAUUAAUAUAAAAAAUAUUAUUUAUACUUGAGUUUAAUAAAUAGAACAUAUCUAUUACAGUGUAAACAUACAAAAUACAAUAGUAUUGAUUGUUUUUUGAGUGUAAGUAAUGUUUAACCUGCAAAGUGCCUUACGAGUGUAACUGGAACACACAUUUACAUUGGAAUAAAACACAAGCAAACAAAGAAAGACAGGCCUUAUUUUAGAAGCGCACACCGCACACGCACUGGAACACACUUAUCAGUCGCCCUUCACAGUUUCGAGAAAUAUGACAUACUUUCAAAACAAACACUUUCAAACAGGAAGCAGUGGGUUCAGCCACCAAGAAUAUUUCCAGACUGUUGGUGCAUUUGUGAGAAUACGAGACAAGUUUUGGUGUUGUCUUUACUGACUGCAGGUCAUGAAAGAUUUAAGGUUCCUGGAAUCCCCUUCACUCCGACCGAUUCAUUCCUCACCGGCAAUUGUUUGCACUGAUGAGUCGAGACGUGCUGAGCGUCCUCUGAGCGUGUCGAUGGCGGUUCAGAGGCGCUGCGUUUGCGCCUCUCCCCGCGAGGUGACACUUACGCUUGACUUUUGAAGUGCUUGGCUUUCAUUGACAGCAUCACAAAGGAAAGUCAGUCCUGUAGGGUGCUUCGAAGGCUCGGGUCAUUAGGACCAAUGGCCCAGAAACAGGUGGAGGGAGAAAACUCAGUCUGAAGAGCACAAGAAGACUCCCGUGUUCAAGUCUGGUUUGUGUUCCUUGUAGUGCUUUAUCUUUAUAUUAGUCAGACAAUCCCUUAGCAUUAGUUUGGACAGAGUACUUGAAAUGACUUUGUUUAUUUGACUUAGGAUAGAAGACAUUCAUCGUUUUGGUCUCGACAUCAAAGAAUUUCGCUAAAUGUCAAAACCCAGCCUCUGAGGAUCAAUACAGUCUUGUUUCUCAUACAUAUCUUGCCUAAAAGCUCCCUGCAUGUUUGUUAGAAAUAAAACACUAGCUUUCAUUUAGCCUUAGCAGUAAAUAUAGCCCACACUGCCUUGCUGAUGCAAUUCACAGAAAGCUGCGGCGGAGCAUGCAUCCAUGCAGAAGGUGUGCGUUUGGGCUCAUCGCUCCACGCCGCAUGAGUCCACUGGGUGCCGGGUCGGAUUUGGCCUUGUGUCUUGCAGGGUCUCCAAUAGGACCAGACAUACUGGAAGUGGUCAGCGCUCACAAGCCUAAAUGCUGAUGACUCACGCGCCGCUGACUCUAUGUGCAUUACAGCGAGAUGCAUCCGAUGUCACAGUAUAUGGAUCACGUGCUAGUUUUGAACACUUUCUGAAAGAAGCAUAGUGAUAUACUUGGAAGAUUAUCCUAAUAUUUCAACACUCCAUUUGUAUCUGCUCUAGAGAAGCAGUGGCAGUUACUUCAAAUAAACAUUGCUGGUUCAAAUUCUUCUUAACCAGCAAAACCUGAUUAGAAGAUAAUUUCAUGUAUAUCUAUCUAUCUAUCUAUCUAUCUAUCUAUCUGUCUGUCUAUCUA